AAAGGUGUAGCUCAAAUGGUAGAGCACAUGCUUAGCAUGCAUGAGGUCCUGGGUUCAAUCCCCAGUACCUCCA
rnacentral:tRNA from 1 species